AUGUCACUAAGGUUUCCUAGAAUAGGUGGAUCAUGACCAUAACUGGCCAACAGCGUCCUCAAAUGCAUAAUCAACAUAAGCAUGAUAUAUACUCAGGCAACUCUGAAGCAAAAACAAAUUGAAUCUCCUUUAAACUCUCAACGACGAAGACCCCAAACAUAUCAAGAAAGUGAACGACCUAUGAUUAAUCUAUGCUAGCCAUCUAACUGACAUCUAAUGCAUCCAUCUCAGGCUCAUCAUGAAGAAAAAAUCUUAUAUAUCAAAUCUAUUAUCUAAGAGAAAAUACUAAUACCUCCACGAGAUCUCUCAUCCAAUAUAAAAAGCUCUAGCUCCGUGUCCAUCAAUCUCAUCAUAUGUAUGCUAUUACCCUUAACAAUAUCACUUAUUAACUUGGUGGUGAGAGUGGGAGGCAAUGAAUCAUGCAACAUCCCAUCCUAAAUUGGAGGUUGUCAAUCCUGCUAACUAUCAAUCCUCAAACUCAAACCUACUAAUGCCUUCUAAAUAGAAACCAUGGUGGUUGUAAAUUGCCCAACCGUAACAUGCUAAGGAUCCAUAUCUAAUUGCUCUAUAACUUUGUCAAGCUACUCCUGACUCUAAUCUAAGAAGUUGAAUCCAAAUUGAGAUGAAUAACACUCCUACAAGGUACAAAGGGAUGGGCUAAGACAUGACAUGAAGAAAGCUCAGAAGAGGCGGAAACACACUUAUCACAAUGUAGGAAAGUGGCUCAAUCGACACUCAAAUGUGUACUAUUCUCUAAACACACCAAUAAGAGACCAUAAAGAGGGAAUACUAGACCUAAAUAUGUGACCAAGGCAACUCUAAAGGCCCACAGAUGCGCCCAUGUGUAGGAAGGAAAUCCUAACAAAAGGGUCUAAGCUCAACUUACAAGAUUAAAGUGACUCUAAAAAUAAAAAGGGCAGUCUAAAGGGAUCAUUAGCAAAAGUCAUCAUAACCCCCUACGGUAUGCAACCUCUUACACGCCUUCAAAGAAACAGGACGCUUCCAUGCAAGGUGGUCAUCACCUCCACACAUGCAAUACCUCACGUCCUAGAGGGUUUCCUAAUGGUGAAGGUUCUCCUACUGGUUAGCAUAUCUCACAACUCUCAAUCACUCAAAGAUUAUCUAAUGUGCACAAUGAAAGUAUGGGUGCAUCUGACAAACCUAUCAACUAAAGUAGAAAAUAAACAAAGACAAACAAUCAUGCAUCAAGCAGAACAAGGGUAGUUAUGCAAUAGACAAUCAUGCAAAGCAAAUGAAUCAUAGAAACAUCACCCUAGCUAAGCAAAGAUAACAUUGAAGCAAAGUAAAUAUGAACAAGCAAUCAUGCUAGACAUGUAAGAUAGUGUGGACCCGCAUUUUUCACGUGCGUCCCCACUCGAUUGGCGAGACUCUCUUUUUAUUUGUGAAAAAUUAUUUAGUUUUGGAAAAGUUGGAGCUGCCACUUAUUUUAUUUUUAUUUUAAAAGAAAAAUAAAACAAGAAAGAAAAACCCUAAAAUGUGACUCCAUAAUUUUUUUGGAAAAAAACAUGUCUUUGAAAAACCUGAGUCUAGGUCCGAGGAUCAGGUUACUUAUUAGGAAGGUACCUCUAGGAGGUAUCACCCUUCUAAGCCCUAAAGAGGUCUUUACUGACUAAAUUGGGAAAAUGGGGCAAUUAAUUGAUUAAUUGUAGAUACCUAAGUAAGUUAGGUGAUUUUUAGAAAGUAGCAUGCUAAAUAAGGAGAUCAAUCACAAUAAAGGAGAGUUAGGGUGCGUACCUGAACCACUUCUUAAACGUUAUCAUAAAACAUCAAUGGUUAAUUCAGAAAUAUGACACACGACAUGCAUUUUAUCAAGGAUGAUCAAACAAACAUCGAGACAAUCAAGUAUGGCAUCAAACAAGGGCAAUGACAUGCAUAUUCAUGAAAUUUUGGGAACAUACUUGGAUAGCAUAUAUAACUCCUAAUGUGCUUCCUCAGGACAUGGGGGUUAGAUAAUAAAGAAUAAAUAAUAAAUCCUAGCAUGCUUAUCUAAUUAAUUAGCAAAAAUUAUCAGAAUUCGGAAUAAUUAAUUAUCAUACAUAUCUUGUAUACAAUUCCUAAAAAGAAAAAUGUAAAUAUGAUUACGAUAAAUAGCAGGAUGGUAGCAAAAGUAAAUUUUGAAAAAAAUUUCUUAUGUAGGGGUUUCACCAAUUCCCCAAAUUAAUAUACACGAAUUUAGCCUAAAAUUGUCCCCUUUAUUUGGGACCACAAGCUUUGAUUCGCGUUUUGUUUAAAACCAAAAUUUUUGUUGAAAAUUGAGAAGGAUGCAAACCGAUUAAGAUAUGGUUGCAUAUUAUUUUUUAAAAAAGAAAAUAGAUUUUGAUUCUAAAGGCUUUAAAUGAAUAAUAAAAAAAAUUUAAAAACGAUUUUUUUGAGAAAAAGAGUUUUGUUUUAAAAUAAAAGAAAUUCAUUUUUAAAAUGACAAAAAUAGAAAACAAAAUAUCAAUUAAAACAAAAGGAAACAAAGAUCAGGAAAUAAAGAUUUUAGAAAAUCUUGUCAAUUAAAGUGGUGAGAGUAAAGGUCAACCUUCAUGGGUUUCCAGUGGCCCUCAAAAAAAAUUUGACCAACAAUCACUAAGGCAACAAAUUUAUGACUUCCUAAUCAAACAAACUAACAAAAUUAUCAUCCAAAAACUAACAUUUAAAUUUCAAGAAACACAUGAAUAACUAAAAUUAGACUAAUUGGAAUUAAAAAUGUAAACUUUACCUCACAAGAUCGAUUAAACUAAAGAAUUAAGAUCGAUAACACAUUCAAAUUAAAAAUAAACUAGAAUUUAAACAAAUCGGAAUUAAAAAUAUAAACUUUACCUUACAAGACCAAUUAAACUAAUAGAUUAAGAUCAAUGACCCAUUCGAAUUAAAAAUAAACUAAAAUUAAACUAAUUAGAAUUAAAAAUAUAAAUUUUAUCUUACAAGAUCAAUUAAACUAAAGAAUUAAGAUCGAUAACACUAUUCAAAUUAAAAAUAAACUAGAAUUAAACUAAUUGGAAUUAAAAAUAUAAAUUUUACCUUACAAGACCAAUUAAACUAAAGAAUUAAGAUCAAUAACAUAUUCAAAUUAAAAAUAAACUAGGAUUAAACUAAUUGAAAUUAAAAAUAUAAAUUUUACCUCACAAAAUCAAUUAAACUAAUAGAUUUAAGAUCAAUAACUCAUUCAAAUUAAAAAAAAAAAACUAGAAUUUAAACUAAUCGGAAUUAAAAAUAUAAACUUUACCUUACAAGUCCAAGUAAACUAAUAGAUUUAAGAUCAAUAACUCAUUCAAAUUAAAAAUAAACUAGAAUUUAAACUAAUCGGAAUUAAAAAUAUAAACUUUACCUUACAAGUCCAAUUAAACUAAUAGAUUUAAGAUCAAUAACUCAUUCAAAUUAAAAAUUAAACUAGAAUUUAAACUAAUUGGAAUUAAAAAUAUAAACUUUACCUUACAAGUCCAAUUAAACUAAUAGAUUUAAGAUCAAUAACUCAUUCAAAUUAAAAAUUAAAGAUCAAUAACUCAUUCAAAUUAAAAAUAAAUUAGAAUUUAAACUAAUCGGAAUUAAAAAUAUAAAUUUUACCUUACAAGUUCAAUUAAACUAAUAGAUUUAAGAUCAAUAACUCAUUCAAAUUAAAAAUAAACUAGAAUUUUAACUAAUUGGAAUUAAAAAUAUAAACUUUACCUUACAAGUCCAAUUAAACUAAUAGAUUUAAGAUCAAUAACUCAUUCAAAUUAAAAAUAAACUAAAAUUAAACUAAUUGGAAUUAAAAAUAUAAAUUUUAUCUCACAAGGUCAAUUAAACUAAAGAAUUAAGAUCAAUAACUCAUUCAAAUUAAAAAUAAACUAAAAUUAAACUAAUUGGCAUUAAAAAAAUAAAUUUUAUCUCACAAGGUCAAUUAAACUAAAGAAUUAAGAUCGAUAACUCAUUCAAAUUUAAAAAUAAACUAAUUGGAAUUAAAAAUAUAAACUUUAUUUAAACUUUCAUGUAAAUUAAAAAUAAACUAGCAUAGAACUAAUGAAUUGCAAUCAUAAAAGAGAGACAUUUAAUCUAAGAAAAAUAAAGAUUGUUCGAAAUCGAGAUUUAAAAGAAUUUAUCACAAACAAUUAAUUAAACCAAACAACUAAAACCCAAACUAAAAAAAAAAAAAAAAAAUACGGUACCAAAAAUCCGAAAACUAACCUGUAUUGUAUCGGAAAAAUACUCUCUUGAUGUUUCAAAAUGGCAGCCCAAUUAGUCUUUCAGGUCUUCUACCGCUCCCCCAAAAAACUUGCGUGUCUUCCUCUCCUCUAAAAAAGAUUGCUUUUUGUAAGUGAAUUUCUGCUCCCAAAAGAAAAAAAAAUCUCCCUGCCAAAGAAAAAGUCCUCCUUGUCUUAGAUCUCUCUCCCCCAGAAAAACAAUCCCCCCCCCCCUCUAAAAAUAAAACUUUUCUGAUCCAAAAAAAGGAAAUCCACUUUCCUUUCUUAUUUUCUACCCUUUUAUAACCGAUUCUCCCAUGGAAAUAAUAUAUGUGUUAUCCUUCUAAAAACAAAAUCUCCUCUUUUUCAAAAUUCUGUUGAUUCUCCUUCCAAAUAGAUGGCAGCCCGUUUCCUCAUGUCCAAAAAGCCAAGAAAUAUGAUUUAGAAAACUUGUAAUAAGAUAAAAUAAAAUAAAAUAAAAAUAAUAAAGAAAUCCAUAUAAGCCACACAAGUCAUGUAGGUCAUGCAAUCGUGCAAGUCAUAUAAAAAGUGGGUUUAAAAAUGCUUAAAUGAGCCUAAGGCGUUCAGGAAAGUGCCUAAGUCUAAAUUAGGGCUGCCAAGGUCAUAAUAAGGGGUUAGGCAAUCCUUCAACCAGAGUUUCCGAGGUGGUUCAAGAAAGGUAAGUAGUGUGAGUAGAUACGGGUCACCAAGGAGCUAACUGUAAAGUAUCGAACAAGUAUCUAAUAAGACAUGUGCUAGGAGGACAGAAUUGAGGGUCUACAGAUAGGUAAUAAUUAUAAGCAUAAGAUAGGUAGAGUGAACAAUAAUUACAAACAACAUGCUAGGAUAUCCACAUCAAUUAUGCAAUAUAUACAAAUCACCCUACUUAUAAGAGAGGGUACCUACUAAUUGACCAAUCAAACACCAUAUUUUCCUCAACUAAUGUUCAAGUUUGACCCUCUAAAUCAUCAGUGGAGUCACUAAUUUGUGGACCUGCAUUUUCACGUACGUCCCUAUAUAAUAACAAAACUCGUUUUUUAAUUGAAAAACUAUAUUUUUAUAAAAAUUGGAAUCGCUACUUAUUUUUAUUUUUUAAAAAGAUAAAAUAAAAUAUAAAAAAAAAAAAAACUAAAACCCUAAGAAAAAUGACUAUUUAAACUUUUGGAAAAUAGUGUCUUUGAAAAACUUGAGUUUAGAUUCGAGAAUUAGGUUACCUAUCAUAAAGGUAUCUUAAAGGUAACACCCUCUCUAAGUCCUAAAAAGGUUUCUACUAAUUAAAUUGAGGGAAGUUUGAAAAUUAAUUGAUUGAUUGAAGGUACCAAAUAAGGCUAAAAGUGAUUAUCUAAAUUCUAACAACAUAUUAAGCAUGACAAACAAUCAUUUUAAGUCACAAGUAUAAAAGAGGGAUAGGGUGCGUACCUAGAUUGCAACUCAAGUGUUAUCAUAAGACAUCAAAGUUAGUUAAAAUAUCAUAUCACUCAACAUGUAUUAUCAUUUAGAUCAGUAAAUCAACACAAAACAACCCAAACAAAGGAAAAUCAAGCCACCAAGAGAGACAUAUCAAGCAUGAUCAUGCUCGCACAUGAGGCAUGCAUAUUUGUGGAAUUAAAAGGUAAAAAUGAGGGGUGUACUUGAAUAACAAAAGUUGAUUACAAUGCACUUCCAUAUAAAUAAAGAUGUUAGAGCAAGAUAUAAUAACAAACAACAAAGAGGAUAAAUCCUAAUAUGCAUGGUAUCUUCGUAUCAUAAGGAAAUGACAAGAACCCACAUAGAUAUCAAUUAUCAUAUAAGGCAUUUAUUUCAACUCUUAAAACACAUACAAAAUGGAAGAUUCAAAGACUAUGACAAAACAUGCAACAAAGAAUCAUAAUAAUAGCAUCAAAAGAAAAUUUACAAAUUAAUACCUACGAGCCUAAUUUGAUCAAAUAAAAAAUGGGCAAGUUUUCCCAUUGUAUCCAUAUCAAAAAUACAAUAACCAAUGUCAUACCAUGAGAUGCUCAUUAAUUUUGAAUUAAACAAUAUAAUGAUCACUAUGUGUAAUUUCAGUAUACAAUCAAAACAAGAUGACUUCAAAAAUAGAUCCCAAAAAAAUAUUAAAACUAAGAAUGUGAUCACACCAAAGGUCCAAGGACCUCUCCUAGAUGUCUAGAAUAUUAUACAAGUGUCCACAAACUCAUUUGAAUAUCAUAUUAAAUUUAAAACACCAAAAAGUUCCUAAAGGUCCAAAAAUGGUUAGAAAGCAAAGGCAUGCAUUAACUAAUUUUUAAAAAAUGACCAAAGGUCUCCUAAAAUCACACAAGCCUUUCAAGGUGUCUAGUUUACAUAAAAAAAAUAAAUAAAAUAAAUAAAUAAGAAUAUAAACAAAAGGCAAGCAAAACAAUUUUUAAAACACACAAACAUGUCAUCUAUACAAAAUUGGUUUAGUGCAGUGGGUACAUCUUUAAAAAAAUCAUAUAUCAUACUAGAAAAAAAUAUAUCUCAACAUUGUAUGUGUCAAAACUCAAUUUCAAGAAGUCAAGAAUGUAGGAAAAAUAUCUAGUUAAAUUAAAAAGAUUAAAAGUAAAUUUAUUUUGCAAAAUACUCUCAAUGUACAAAAUAGGAAAGAUGCAAAACAUGCUAAAAGAAAUUAACAUAACUCUCAUUUAAAAGAAGUUUUUUACUCAUUCAAAAUUCUAGAAUCAAUUACAAGAAUAUAAUAAUAUCCUACAAUCCUUAGAAAAAUUUUUAAGACACUCAAAAAUAGUCAAAAUGAAUUUUAUUUCAAAAGAGGCAAUAGUUGAGCUAAAAGGUAGCAAUGAGGAGUUUUGAAAACUCUUUUAUGUUAGGGUUCCAUCAAGUCCCCAUUCAAUUUACAUAAGUUCAACUUGUGCAUCCUCAACCUUAAAUGAAUAUUUAAAAAUUUGCCAAGGUUAAGAAUAUUUCCAUUAGCUUGGGGGCACUAGUUCAAACAUGUGUUAAAAAUCAGAGUUUUAGAAAUCCAAAAAAAAGAAUGCAAUUUAGAUAAAAAUGAGUUGCAUAUUUUUUUUAUAAGAAAAUGAGAUCUUUGCUCAAGAGACCUGGAAUGGAUUUUCAAGAGUCUUUAGAUGGUUUUAAAAAAUCUUUUGAAGAUGAUUUUAGGAAAAGCAAAGAAGAACCAAGCAAGCUAAGCAAUCCUAAAUAAUAGACACAAAAUAGGGAUUUUUGAUUUCCAACUUAAAGAGACAACCAAAAAAAAAAAGAACAAAGUCAAAAGAGACACUAACUUGGAUUCCCUUUUGGCUACCUUUCAUUUACAAUCAAAAAGCCAUAUCCAUGAUGGAGAAAAUUCAUUUUCAAAAAAAAAAAAAAAAAGGAUUUUGACUCAACCCAAAAGGAUAAUUAGAAAAACUUUCUUUUUAAAAAAGGUCAAAACUAAAUAAUUCCUCAAGGUGCAUACAAAAUAGGUAUAGGAUAAAGAAAACCAACAUGAAAAUUUAACCAAACAAAUAUUCCUGAAUUUUUAAAAUCUAACUAACAUGAGAAUUUUAACCAGAUAUAACAUUCAAUGAAUUUCUAAAAGACAACCAUCAUAAAAAUUUAGCCAAGCAUGCAUUCAAUGAAUUUUUAAAACCUAACUAACAUGAGAAAUUAACCAAACAUACAUUCAAUGAAUUUUUAAAAUCUAACUAACUUGAGAAUUUAACCAAACAUACAUUCAAUGAAUUUUUAAAAGACAACAAUCAUGAAAAAUUAACCAAGCAUGCAUUAAAUGAAUUUUUAAAACCUAACUAACAUGAAAAUUUAACCAAACUAGUAUCCAAUGAAUUUUUUAAAACCUAACUAACAUGAAAAUAAUCAAAAUUAACACCCAAUGAAUUUUUAGAUAACAACUAACUUGAAAAUAAUCAAAACUAACAUCCAAUGAAUUUUUAGAAAACAACUAACUUGAAAAUAAUCAAAACUAACACCCAAUGAAUUUUUAGAAAACAUUUAACAUGAAAAUAUAUCCACACUAACAUCCGAUGAAUUUUUUUGAAAACAACUAACACAAAAAUUUAUCAAAACUAACAUCCAAUAAAUUUUUAGAAAACAACUAACAUAAAAAUAAACAAAAUUAACACCCAAUGAAUUUUUUAAAAACAACUAACACGAAAAUAAUCAAAACUAGCACCUAAUGAACUUUUUGGAAAACAGCUAACAUGAAAAUAAUUAAAACUAUCAUCCAGUGAAUUUUUAGAAAACAACUAGCACGAAAAUAAUCAAAAUUAAAAAUUAAUGAAUUUUUAGAAAAAAUAAACUAACUAAAAUUAUAUUAAUCAAAAUUAGAAAAAUAGAGAUUUCAGAGUUCACCUUAUGCAGCUGUGUGGAGAGAGAUCUUGUGGGUUGUUCCUAUUCAUGCAUGUUGUCUGGAUUUUCUUCUUUUAUGUGGGCCUUUAAGGGCGUGUGAGAGUAGCAUGUAUAUCUCUUUGAAAGGAAGACAACAGUCCAUCUCUUUCAACCAUCAUUUGAUUGGUCAUCCAUCUUGUCACAUGCAUUGCAAGAAAGCCUGCACAUUACCUUGAUCAUUUUAUAGUGGUCCACAUCAUCAAAAAAUGCUUGUGUUUUCAUGAUACCAGUAUGAUCCCACUUGACCCUCCCUUAAUUCAAUCGAUAGGAUUGAAAAAUUCUUAACCAUUCUUGUAUAAUCUCCUAAAGUCUUUAUGACAAAGACAAUGUUGCACUCAAUUUUGUAGAUGCAGCAACAGCGAUCAUUAGAGUUGAGGUAAAAACAAGCCACACAAGUUGAGUACACAUCAUGGUGGCCCUAAGGUUCUUACGAAGCUUAUUUGAGAGUCUUGGCGCAAAUGGCACAACUGUUGUUUCUUACUCUUUUCUCCUUCUAGUAUGAUCCCUCGAGUUUGGAGAAUGGGUGGAUUAUAUAUAGAAAAUAGAAAUAGAUCAGCUUUGGGAAUUUGAGUUAAACCAAAAGGCAUUAUUUUCUAAUGCAUGCUCUAGAUGUGUCAUUCUCCAUUGCAGCGCAGCCAUUGUCUAUGUAAGGUGUGAAAAACCAAUAGUCUAAUAGAGAACACUAAGAGGGGGGUGAAUGGGUGAUUUAAAAAAAUUUAAUAGAGAUGUAUAUGGUAUACCCAAUUCUUUUACCCUGUGAUAUGUUAGGGCUAAUCAAUUUUAUCAAUUUUAGGCUAUUCAAACAGAAUAUCAAAUAUAAAAAAUAUAAGCAAUGAGGCAUGUUAAGACAUUGAGUCUUGUUUAUAUGUUGGCAAUGUUGUUUUUUUUAUGUUUAGUCAUAAAAAUCCUUUUAGAUAAUGACUUGUUCUUCAUUAAAGAUCAAGAGUUAUUGUUCGUCCAACAGAGAAGUCACGUGUAUAUCUAAAGAAGUUUGGCUUAUGGCAAAUUAGGCUACCUUGAGGUAUGAAACAUAUCAGUUUUAUUUUGAACUUAAAAUGAUUUAAAAUUGAUUUUUAAAUAGAGCAAGACCGCUCAAGCAGCUUGGAGCGCUUGGGACUACUCAAGCGAGCCAUACCACUCAAGUGUCCAAGGCACUCAAGCAGUGGGUAAGUUGGCUCGAUCAAUAAUGCAAAUUUUGUUGAGAUUUUUCACGUAAAUAUGGUUUCAAGCUCUUCUAAAUACAAAAUUCUUCAAGCUUUUGCUUAUAAAUACCUCUCUAUUAACCCCUUGAGGACAAAAAAUCAUUAAGUGAUUGAAAGGAGAUCACAUAUUCUCUAGAGAAGGUUUCUUAUAGAGAAAGCCUAAAGUGUCACAUUAUUUCCGAUCUCUUAUUCAAGGAUUAUAUCUUUGAAAAUUGGUUUAAAGACCUUCAUUCUUUUGGCGAGACUGAAGUGAUCCACUAAAGUAAUUGACGGUUGUUGCAUUACAAAUGUGAAUCAAGUUGUAGGUACUAGAGAGUAAAUUUUUAGGAUAAAAUGGUUAAAUAAAUCUAUGUAACUUGAUUUCGUAUAGUGGAUUUAGAUUAAUAGGUCUUAAACCUCAUGAUUUUUUAUUUCAAGGGUUUUUCACAUAAAAAAUCCCGUGUCUCAUUUUUUAUAUCCCUUUAUCUAAUAUUUUAUUUGAAUUGCCUAUAAUUGAUAAAAUUGAUUAUCCCUAACAUCUCACAAGGUAUCCCUAAAAAGUAAAAAUCAUAUUUUUAUAUCCUAAAUAUUUUAGGUAUAACACAUUCAGUUAUUUAAGGUAUCCCUAAUAUCUCUUGAGGUAAAAGAAUUGGGAAUAGCAUAUAAAUCUUUAUUAAAAAAUUUUGAAUCAAUCAUUCACCCCAUCUCUAGGUGUCGUCUAUUGGACUUUUGGUUUUUCAAAUGCAAUUAUAGAAGAGUAGGCAACAAUUCGUCGCUUCUUAAAACCCCAUGAGAUAAGGUCAAGGUUGAUGAUGUAAUUAAGCACUUGUAGAAGUGAAGUCAAUUUUAUUAUCAAUCUACAUCCCAAAAAACAUGAAAAAAGAUGGAGAAGUUGCAAUAAAGAACCAGACCAUGAUCAAAUGUUCCAUAAAGACACUGAAGAAGAGGCAUGACAACAAUCCAGUGAUCACUCGUAGGGCAAUGCAUAAACUAUGAGAGUUAUUCAUCGCAAAAGCGUUAUUAGACUAGGUGAGAAAAAUAUACCCAAGAGUGUCAAUAAUAAUUCAAUACUUAUUAGAUCAAAGGGGGUUGUACAAUGUGGAAUUCAAGAGUUGGAGAUGUAGUAAGUGGUAUGGUAAUUGGUUUGGAAUCUGGCAUGGGAGCAUGACCUAAUUAAAAGAUCUCUAAUACAUCGGUAUUAAGAGAGAAAUAACCUGUGACAACAUUGUGUGGCUUCAACGCCAAGAAAAUAAAAUAAAGGUCUAAGAUCCUUGAACAUAACUAAGGAAAUAGACCAUGACACCUCUAAUGUUGCAAAUAAAUAGUGAUGUGUCAACAUGGGAGUUAGUGAAACCAUAGGUGAUAAGAAACUGACAGAACUCAUGAUACAAAAUAUGGUGUUUGCUUGAGAACAUAGAUAGCUUUGCGAAGUUUGUACACAUGAUCAAGAUUAUCACGAUCAAUGAAUCUCAAUGGUUGAGCCAUGAAAAACAUCUUUAAGCAAGUGGCCUUGAAGAAAAGUAUUGUUAACAUCUAGUUAGCGUAGAGACCAACCACGAUUGACCACAACACUGAAAAUAAGGCCUAUAGUGGUGGUUUGACAAUAUGACUGAAAAUAUCAUGAUUAUCAACACAAAGGACAUUAUUUAAAGAAAAAUGUGUGAGAUGAUGGAGAGAGAUAGGUGAAACUAGUAUGGGUGAUGGGAAGACCUAUGUUAUCACCAAUCAGAAUGUUAUCAGAGACAUCAUAAGGAGUAUGAAUGGAAAGAUUGCUCAAGUCAAAGGUGACAUGGUGUGAUACUCUACUAUCAAGAAGCCAAUUAAGAGUGUUGGAAUUGUUUAUGAAAGCAAAAGUUGGCAUAAGGUUGUCAUUGUGCUUAAGGACAAGGUUGACAUUGCAUAUAUAGACGUGGUUGCCAUGAUGGUGACGGUUGUGAGGUCGGAGUUGGAGUUGGAGUUGAUGUUGACAACAUCAUCCAAUAGGUAGGGCAACAUUUGAUAGUGUGACCUUAUACAUUGCAAGCUUGAUAGUAGUCAAGAUAGGGCUUAGAAGGUGGCCAGUCACCUUGUAGAGCAAAUGAUUAUGGCCCAACAUUACAAAACGUGGGGGAUGAAGAGUUCAUUGAGGAUGGAGGAUGCCAAGGUUUGUUACAAGGAUUCCCGGAAUUGGGUCGUCGAAUAGUGGAGGCUGAUAGUAGAGUUGAUGAUGAUUGAGAGUGGUGUAGAGUGAGUUCCUUGUUUAUCAACUUUUCAUGGAGUUCCUCAAAGGAAAUUGGUGUUUCUCGAUCAAUGAUGACUUCAAUGAUUGGUUUGCAAUUAUUAUCUAGUCCAUCAAGAAUUUUCUCAAUGAGAUCUUCUUCAUCAAUAGGUUUUCCUAAUAUCACAAGUUCUUUAGCACGAGUCUUAAUGAACUGUAUGUAUUUAGAGAUGUUUCGUGAUCCUUUGAUGACAUGUUUGAUUUGUUCCUUGAUUUGUUUGAUGCAACUUAGGUUGGUUUUGCAUAUGCGUUGGCAAGAAUGGUCGAUGCUUGUUGAGAUGUUUUAGCCAUGGUGAUAAGCAAGAUAAUUGGUGUAAAUAAAGAUCUAACAAAAGCACUAAAAAUUAUUUUGUCAUGUCAAACCCAUGUUUGAUAUAUAUGCAAGAUUUGGAGAGGUGGUGUUAUUUUUUGAAAUUAUGGUAGAUGGACAUGGGUGAGAGUUGUCAAUAAAUCCUUCUAGGUCAUAGCCAAUGAGUGUGGCUCAAAAUUGUAGUUGCGAGGAAAGAUAAUUGGUAGGGUUAAGUUUGAUGGUGUUGUGGGUAGAGAUAUUAAUGGUUGUGAGAAGUUUGUUAAUUUGGUUCUAGGGUGUUUGGAACCAUGAUGUCGGUGUUUGUUGUAGCCAUUGGAGCUAAGGUCUCAGUGUGAAAGAAUGAAAAAUGAGAGGAAAAAAGAGGUAGUCUCAAGAGGAUACUGCUCCAAUACCACAAAAAUGUAAAUAGAAUUUUGGAAAUUAUGGCCUUAUACAUUCUCAUUGAUAAUAAUGAAUAUUUAUAUACAAAUACAUUUGAAUUUGAUUAUAAUUCAAACUUUAUCCCCUAUUUUAAUUCAAAUUAAUAGUAGACUUCUUCUCUAAUUCAAACUUCAUAUUCUACUCUAAUUUUAAUUAAUAAUAAAUAGAUAAAUAUUAAUAGUAAAUUAAGGAUAGAUAUUUAAAUUAUUUAUUCUCUCUAUUACUUAUUUGAGUAAAAAUAUCCGAAACUAUAAAUAGGUAUGGUGCAUAGAACUUUGGAUGAGAGAUGAUUAUCUAUCAAAGGCAAGAAGAGAAAGUAAGAGAAUAUGAUACAUUUUAUUAAUUUAAAAUAAAAUUAAAAAAUUUCAUAAACAUAUUUACAUUUACUUUUGUCAAUCUCACAAAUAAGAUACUAGAAUAAAUUAAUUGGGGAAACAAGGAAGAUAAGUCUUGGGAUCAAUCGGCAACAAAAGAAGGAACCACUUGUUUGGUGAACAAUCCUUUCAUAAUACCAUCUAGCUAUUUCAUUAAUGAGUCAUAAGACAAUUCACAAUUAAUGUGCCUAUUAAUAAUAAAAAUAAUUAUAGUGUGUGUAUAUAUUUAAUUUUUGAGUUUUACUAAAGUAGCCAAAUAUUCCAAUUUACAAGUAAAUUCAUUAUAAUUUUGAUUAGAUUGCUUUUAACCACAAAGAAAAAAAAAUACAUCUGCAUCUCAUAUUGUAAAAUCACAUAUACAAUUUGCUAGACAUAUGAAAAAUGUAGGCCUUCAAAAGAAGGCCUAUGAAAUGCAUGCCUUGGAUAAUUAAAAAGCCAAAGAGGCACUCAAGGGCAACCAAAAGGAUAAGCAUAUCUUAUUAUAAUAUAUCAUUUUUUAAGUUAUUUUUAAUUUAUAAAUAAUGUUCAAAAAUAUAAAUUAUCAUCCUAUGCAAGCUCUAUCAUUGUAAUACUCUCAACCUUAUAGAUAUUAUCGAUUUAGGUUUAACAUAUUAUUAUGGUCUUAGAAGAAUAUUUUCUCCAAUGACCGAUAUGAAAUAUUAUAAGUAUUCCCUAUAAACAUGACGUCUUGGUCAUGUCCAUAAAAUUAUGAGACCGAACAAAUAAGCAUCUCUUAUAAGGUCAAAAAAAGUAAAAACUCAUUAAGAUUGAGGAUCAACUAUAAUACGAUUUAUAACAAUUCACUUUUAAUUAUGUAAAUAUUAUUCAUUAUAAGUCUAAUAAGUCUUUAAUAUAACUUUAAAAUAUUUUUAUAUAAUUUAGAAAAAAAUCAUACAUAUAUAAUAAUAGAAACAUUUUUCUUAUUUGAUGUGAGAUAUCACAAUCAGAAAUAGUUUAUAAAGUAAUUUGUUUUAAAAUCAUUGUGACAAUGGUCAAUAUCAUGGAUGAUCCAAGUAAUAUUAUUAUGCGAAAAUAGGGGGAUGCAUGUACUCUCAUUUAUGUGUUGUUGCAUAAUUAAAAAUAAAAAAAAUGAAAUGAAAGAAAGAAACACUGUCCAGCCCCUUUCUAAAAUCAAAAUAAUAAUAAUAAUAAUAAACUAUUGCUUCGAGUCUUCCAUGGAGCAAACGAAUGGAAUUAAUUCACAAUCCCAUAUAAUUGCAAAUGCGUUCCACUUCAUUAAAUAACAUAGAAGGAUACAUACGGAUGGGAUCAACAUUCAACAGACAAUGGGCUCGAAUUAAUUUCACUGAGAAAGAGUAAUUAAAGAGAAAAAACAUAAGGGAAAAGGGAGCAAGCACAAGUACACAAAGGAAAAGGCAACACCCGCAAUCAAUUAAAAGUUCUACUAAGUUCUGUAAAAUUUUUGGCAACCUCUAUUUUGUUUUGGAUCACAUUUCGGCGCAGGUGAUGGUGGAGGGAGGUUGUCAGCAUAGGCAGUACCCUUAGGACCAGACACAGCUGGACUAUCAGGAUUUUCAGAGCCCGGAGUUACAAAAGAGAUAGGCGCAAGCAUUCUGCUGAUUUCCGAGCCCAUGAAGAGGUCGAAAUCAAGGUCCAUCGUGAGGCAUUCAUCGACGGAGCCAUUGCACCAGGAGGUGGUGCUGUUGACCUUCAGGGAAGCUGCUCCACAACAAUUUAUGUUGAGGAGUAUCAUAACGAGGAAUGCUACACAAAAACCUCUCUUCCUGUCAACUCCCAUUCUUACUCUCUACUCUUCUUUCCUCACAACUCAGCCCCCCUCAGGAAUUCUUGCAUACAACACUCUCUGCGCCAUCACAUACAAUUAUGUAUAUGCAUUUAGUCCCAGGGGAAAGGCACCAAAGAGAAAGAUAAAUGUGAAGGACCUAAAUGUCCUUCACUCCCACUGGGGGCAAUGUUUGAUUUAUGUUUUUAUUUUAGUCGUGCUAAACUUUACAAGUAAGUCAGACUGCUUUUGCUUUUGCUUUUGCUUUUUCCUAAUUUUCACUUUUGUUUUUAUUCUUCAAAGCAAUGUUGGUACAAUAAUGUAACAUUUAACUAAAUAUAAGACGUGCUGUCGAGAUGGUCAUCAGCUCACUAAUCACUACCUGUACAUUAUGGUGGUACAUGGAAAAGUGGUAGACCUCGAAUUCUUUAGUUAGAAGAGAAUGAAGUUAAACACUUCAAUACAAUUACAUCUACCAAUUGGUUUUGAUUUAACUACAUCUGAUGAUUUUAAGAAAUAUUUUUAAAUUAAAAAAUAUUUAAAAUCGUUUAGGUAUUUAAUAAAAUUUAAAAAAUAUUUUUAAAAUUUAAAAAAUAACUUAUAAUAUUUUUUAACUCCAUGACAACCUGCCUUUUUCUUACAUAAAAUUCAAAACCUUAAUAUCGUAACAAUUUACUUUAAAAUUUCAAGGCUUUUACAUUAUGAAAAAUUGGUCUAAAAUGAUUAUUUUUUUGGCUCUAUGUUUAAUUAACAAUAUGAAAGGUAUAUGAAAUCAUAAAUUCUUUGUUCUUCUAUAUUCUUUUCCAUUUUUCUAUUUUUCUUUACAUUUUUUCACCUUAUUAAAUAAAUAAAUAAAUCAUUAAAAAAGUUUUUUUUUGGAAAAAGGAAAAAUAAAAUAAUUUAAAAUAAUAUCAAAAUAAAUUCAAUUUAACAUAACCUUAUAUGCAUAUAUAUAACUUUUUAAUAUUUAAUUUAUAAUAUAAUUAAACAUAUAUUAUAUAUUUAAUAAUAAAAUGAAUAUUUUAUUUAUAAAAUUUUAAAUAUUUUAAUUAAUAAAGGAAAAAUAUUCAUUCUGCAAUUUUAUUUUAUUUUAAUUGUGGAGAUGAUUAAUUAGCUGGCUAGUUAAAGUAACACAAAAGAAAUAGCACCCUUUUCGAUGUUGGAGAGAAGACCAGUGGAAAUGUUCCACCCUGCUAUGUUGAAGAUUGAGAUCAUUUGAUGUCUCCCACUUGCUUUAUUUUAAUAAUAAAGUAUUGUUAUUAUUUUAUUCCACCAGUACUGAACUUGGAUGGGAUUAAAGACUUGGCAAUGUUUGGCUUUCAGAAAAUUCGGGGGAAUAUGUAAGAAAAAAAAGUAAUAAAAAUAAAAAUAAAAAUGAAAAAAAAGAAUAAAUUUAAAUUUAAUAAAUUAUUUUUAUAUGUUAUUUUAAAUUUAAUUAACAUAUUUUUUAUUAUUAAAUAAUUUUAAAAUGAACAAAUUCUUAACUAAUUUUAAUUAUAUUUUAUUUUUUAUAUUUAUUAUAGUAAAAUUAAACAUAAAAAAUUCACUUUUUAUGGUAAUUUUUCACAUCUUAAUUCUUUUGGAAACCAAACAUAAUAAUUCAAAAAAGGAAAGUAAAAAAGGAGACAUGAUUUCUAAAUAGAAAAUAUGGGACCUUCAUGAAACCAAUUGUGCAAUGAAAAUGACACUGUUGAUACGUAUAAUCUACAUAAGUUAAGUAUUUUGUGUGGAUAAUGUUUUUUUUUUUAAAAAAAUGAUUUAUAGUAACCAACUAUAAAAUAAAAGAAUUUUUUAAAGAUGAUAAUAACUUUUAAAAAUUAUUUAAAAAAUUAAGGUAUUGAAAAAAUUUUAUUAUCUUAAACUUUAAAAAGUUAGGGUAUCAAAAAUUUUAACUAUCUUAAAUUUUAAAAAAUUCUAAAAAUAAUCUUUAAUAUAACAAGGUAAAACUAUAUUUUUCAUGUAAAAAUUAUUUAUUUUAUAUAAAAUUUAUUUUUAUUUUUUAUUUUUCAAAAAUAAAAAAUAGGAAAUGUAUUAAAAGAAGCAUUAAAUCUAUGACUUUUUUUGUCAUUUACCUUUUUGAUAUUAUUAAUUGUAUUUUAAACGAAGAUAUGAAAGAUGAAUUAUCAAAUUAUAUGAAAGAAAAACUAAAGCUUCAUUUGACAAUUAUUUUUAAGAAUAAUUUGUUGUUUAGAAAAAAAAAUAGGAAAGCAUGUUUGAUAAUUAAAAAAAUUAUUUUUUAUUUUUAAAAAUAAAAAAUAUGAUGUUUUUAGAUAACACCUUUAAAAUGUUUUUAUUUGUUUUUAUUUAUUUUUUAAGAAAUAUUUUAAAAAAUAACUAUGCAAAUUGGUAAAAUGAUUAAAAAUAAAACAUUAGAUAUAAAAAAUAUUUUUAAAGCAUAUUAAAAAAUGUUAAAAAUAUGUUAAAAACUUUUUAAGUUCUGAAUAGAUUUUUGUUUUACAAAAACAUUCAAGGAGAAUUUUUAAAAAUUAUUCUUAAAACCUAUUUUUUAAAAUAAUUACCAAAAAAGGCCUAAAAUUCUGAUAUUAUUAAUGAAAGAACCAAUUUUUCACUUUUAUUUUUAUUUUUAAUAUAAAGCACAAACAUACUAAUAAAUUUAAAAUGGAAUUAAUUUCAUUUCCUAUUCUACAAUUCUAGAUAUCUCUUUGUCUUUACACCGGAAGAAAGAAAACAAAAAUAAAUCGAUCCUUUCUUUUUAUGUUGCCGUGGAGCAAUUGAAUGAUCACCGGAGUGGUUUGAUUGGUAAGUACCUUACCAAGAGAGUGAGGUAAUCAAGGGUAAAGCAGUAGUUAAUUAUUUAAAUAUUUGUUUUCCUAAAAUAAUAGGAAAUAAAUCAAUUAAUUUUAAUCAUUAUAAUCAUUAGGAUAAUUUAAUUAAAACUUUUGCAAAUGUUUAAGAGAAAGUUCAUAAUUGCUCAACAUUUACUUAAACAAGCUAAUGUGCACUGUUACAAGUAAUGUUUUCAAAAUCGAACCGAUCAUUAAAUCAAAAAAAUUAUCGAUUCACGAUUCAUUAAUCAAAUCGAUCGAAGAAGGUCGAACUGUUGACGUUAUAAAUAUAUAAUUUACAUAUUAUUAAAAUUAAAAAUAAUUAUAAAUUUAAAGAUAAUAUAAUUUAUAUAUUAUUUAAAAAUUAAAAUUUUACUUGAAAAUCAUAAAAUUAUUAAAAAAAUCAAAAAACUAGUUUCGAAGUUUAAAUUAAAAUUUAUUUUUAAAUCAAAAACUUAUUUUAAAAUAAAAAAUUUAUUUAAAAUUAUAUUUAAAUUUAAAUCACAAAUUUUAAAAAUCAUAAAAUUUAAAAAUAAUAAAUAUAAAAUAAAAUAAAUAAUAAUGAAUUUUUAAAAAUAAAAAUAAAAUUCUGGAAAGGAAUGGGGAAGACCGGAAGAGGCGACACUGGAAAUGGGAGGUGGGGGGUUGGUGGUGGCGGUGGCGCAGUCCUGGGGGCCGGGGGGUUGGGAGGCGGCAAGGGUGGGGCGGAAAAGACUGGUUUGCUGGAAGGGGGGUGGGCUCGUCGGCAGCAGGCUGCCCGGCGGCAGGCAUGGGAGCUGGGGCGGCCGUAGAGAGGGGGUUGUGUUCGCAGGAAAACGACGUCUUUGAUGCUGUAAAAAGAAAAAAAAAAAAAAAAGUUGAACCCGGUCCGAUUCCGGUUCAACCAUAUUUCGGUCCAAUUCGUCUGACCGGACCAGAACCGCCACCAGCCGGUCCGGUCCAGUUUUUAAAACAUGGUAAGUGGUAACAAGUCACUAGUCAAUAAUUGCUCACAACUAGCAUCCCAAGGAGGAGCUAGCCAUACCCACGUCAUCAUUAUACAACAUGGUGUGGAAAUAUCAAAUAGGUACUGUGAAGCCCUCUUUUGUCCAUUCAGGCCUGACCAUAGGUGCACAAAAACUGAACAUAAAAUCAUCGGGUCCUAGUGCUUUCAUCUUUAUUCCAAAAGCAGCAGUGAGAUGAUGAAAUGACGCUAGCAUGCAUGAAGGCCACAUGUUAAUAUAUUGCCCCAUUUAUGCAUGAUUUAAUGUGCUUGUACAUGACAAAAGUAGCUAGAUUAUAUUAUUGUAGCACGCCUAAUUGGACUAUAAUUUGACUCUAGUUAAAAAAUUUCUUAGUUAUUUUCCUAUCGAUUGUGACAUCCCUCGAUAGAAUUACGGAACCCUCAUGGCCCCUCAACAAUCAACUGAUUUUAGUGGCAUGUUACCAGUAUAUUGGUGUUUGAUCUGCUUAGCUUGUGGCGAAGAUGGAACUUCAAUUAGCAGAAUAAAGCAAAAGAGAAAGGAAAAAAUGAAAAGAAAAAGGGGGAAAUUAAAAGCCAAUGGACUAGGAAGAGUGUGGCAAAAGUGUAACGCCCAAGUUUUUUUUUUAGGGGUAAUUUAGGAAAAUAUUAAUAAUAAUUUAAUUAAUUAAUCAAUUUAACAAAAUUGAAAGAGGGCUAAAACUGUAAUUUUAUGAAUAAAUACUCUAGGUAUAAAUUAGAAAUUCUGUUUUUUCUGUUCUUAUUUUAAUAGCAUUCCUGUUUACAGAAUUUCAAAUAAUGUAAGGUUGGAGUCGGAUUUUAGGAUUUGAAGAACAGAUCUUUAUAUGUAAUAUUCUAACCCCUAGAUUAAUAUUUUAGAUUCAUUAGUUAAUUUCAAGCACAUUAGAUAUUUUUUUUGGAAAACCCAAAUCUAGAUUAGGGUUAGUUUAUUUUUUUUAAAUCGUUUUAAUAUCAAAAUAAUGAAAAUUUAAUAUUUUGAUUUAUUGUUGGAAAUUGGGAAAUCUUAAGUUUUUAGAUGAAAAAAAAAAUCUUUGGAAGAUUUUGAUUUAGGCUAGGGUUAAUUUAUUUUUAAAAAAAGGAUUAAAUAAAUAUAUUGUUAAUUGUGGCUUAAGGGACUAGAAAAAAAAAACACGUGUGCACUGGUUGCAUGCGUGUGGGAACUGUGCAUCCACUCUUUGUAGCAUGAUGUGAGGAUUUUACGGGUGAAAUCUAGUCGAUAACUUUCACAUACUCUAUUAUUAGACUUAGCCAUUGGGACAUGUGUUGUCACUUUUUGUAGCAUUAUGUAAGGAUUUCAUGGUUGAAAUCUAGUUGGUGAAUUUUCAUAUACUUUAUUAUUAGACUUUGAUGGAUACUUGAGUAUGUAAUAUUUAAUAGUAGCAUGACUGUAUUAUUAGACUUUGAUGGAUAUUGUAUUAUUUAAUAAAGGAAAAUGUGUACGGAUGGUAUUGGGAUGGUUAAUAUAUAUAUAUAUAUAUAUAUUAGCAAUGAUGGAGAGUUGUUGUGUAUAGGCUAUGUUUGGUGGAAAAAAAAAACUUGAAAGUGAAAAAAUAUAAUUUAUAAAUAAAAGAAAGUAAAGUUUUUGAUAUUAUAAUUAUAUUAAUGAUGGGUGUAAGUUAAUAAAUAGCAUAGAAUUUAAUUAGUGAAAUAAAUUACAAUUUAAUUAAAUUAUGUUGUGUCCCAAGAAAUAAACUGAAAAUAAAAUUUAAGUUUUAUAUGAAUUAGAAAUUUAUUAAAUUUUCUAAAAUAGGAAUAGAUUAAAUUAUCUUUCAUAAUUAAAAAACGUUAAUUUGAAUACCUAAAAUUUUAGGAUUGUCAAACCUAUAAUUUUAAAUAAAUAAUAAUGAUUAUUUCUCUUAUAUUUUGUUAAGUGAAGAGUAGAUUUUCAGGAUUAUUUUUCUCCAAAGUUUUUGAGAACUUCUUUUGAGGUAAGGGAAAUUAAUGCAAUUAUUAUUUUUUUUUAGAAACAAAUUUUUAUAUACAUCAUUUGGAAACAUUUUGAGUUAUUAUUCAUUUUAUGCAUGGAUCAAAUAUAUUUUGCAUGAAAAGUAUGUUAGAACUUUAUAUUUUGUUUACAAUAGAGAAAUGUAGAGAUAUUAUGUUUUGCAAAUUUGAAUAAUUGAAAUAAGUGUUCGACUCUAGUUUGUUUGGCCCUUGUCAACGGGAUAUAAUAGUUGACCUUUACAUUUCUUGUUGGGAAAUGUAAUUGAUUUAGACCCCAGCCUCUAGGGUUUGGUUAGAGGUUACUAGUACUAGUAGUGCUUUGUUCCAUCCACCUUAAAAGAACAAUUUGAGGCUAGCUACCUAUUUGAAAAGUUUCACCUAACUAGGCAUCAUUUGAUGUUUGAUGAUCAGAGUAAAUAAAUGAUUUGAAUGUUUUGAUUGAAUUUGAUAUGAAAAUAUUUGAAUCGGAAAUGAAAGUGUACAGUUAAAAGUUUUGAAUGUAUUGGAAAAACUGAUUCAAAGGUUAUGAAAAUAAUUAGUUAUAAUAUCUCUUAUUUUGCAAGUGAACUUGAAAUAUUUGAUCAAUGGACUAUAUUAAUAUUCCUUAUUGGACUUUGAAUUCAUUCCUAUUUGUUGAUUAUUUUUCAGGUACCCUUAGUUCGGGUGAAGAGUGAUGGCUAGGUCAAGGAAUGGUCAUUAUUAGGAUUUUGCUUAGGAUGUUAUUUUUGGACAUUGUUAGCUUAUAAAUUUAUGUUCAUUUUGAUUAUUUUGUUUUUGGAAGCUAUUUAGAUUUGAACUUACAAAUUUUUUUAUGAUAGUUUGAAGUUGAGAUUUGGAGAUUAUGAAAAUUUGUUAGCACUUGAUUUGUUUGAGUUUGCAAUCUAUUUGGAUAAUGGAUUUUGGUUGAUGGAUGCUUAGUUUUAAAGUUAAGUUUGAAGAUUUUAGAAUUUGUUCCGCUACUCUGAACAGAUAUUUGGUGAUUGAUUACUUCCAGUUAUAAUAUGAUUGUUUGGGUCAAGUUAUACUUUAAACAUUCGGAUUUGAGAUGUGAAAUGACCGUCACACCCUUGGAGUGGAUCUUGGGGCGUGACACACAACAUCUCUUGGGCUUGGCUCUUUAAAGUCAUUAUGAUUUGUUUCUUCACAUUGUCAUAUGAGGUUGUCAUGUCUAUUUUUCACACCAAGGUCAUAUCAUUUCCACAGUUUCAAUAAAAAGCACAACUUCUUUUUCCUUUUUUUUUUUUUUUUUUUUUACAAAUACCCUCAAUUUAGCAUCAUUGUAUCAUAAUCACCCUAUCCAACCAUCACCUUUAGAAGUCGUCUCAAGUCAGCGGGCCCGUCCCAUACCAACUUUCAUUUGUCAACUUUGAAUGUUACCAUCAAUAAGGAAAAUAAUGGUAUGACUUUUCAAGGUUGCCCUACUUGAAAUGUCCUUUCCAAAAAUGAUGGUAUGAUUUUUCAAGACAAUCUUACAUGAAAUGUCCUCUACACCAAAAUUUGAAUAUGACAUUUUUUUAAUCUAUUUUCUUUUUCUUCUUGAAAUAUAAAAUUAUUAAUUACUUUUUUAUAACCGAAAGUUUUAAUGUAUUUAUUUGGUAGUAAAUUGCACAAUGUACUAACAAUUGAAACUUGUGGCCAAGAAGUACUCUUUCAAUGUAAAGGGUAAAUUUGUUAGAGAAAUAUAUAUUGCAUAUACGUGUGUAUUAUAAAUGAGUUUUAUCAAGUCAAUUAGAUGGAGGUUUGGCUUGAAAGACCCGAGUAAAUGAAAACUAGAUUAAUUUGUUUCUAAAAUAUCUUAUUUACUUGACUAGGUAAUUACUUGACUUAGUUAAUUACUUGAUUUGGUUAACUAUUAGAUAGAUGAGGUGAAGAUAUGAUGUCAAUUUUUAAGUAACAUGAUUGAGUUUAUAUGAAUAGAUUUACCCUGCUUCAAAGAAAAUCCAUCAUUGAAAAAGCUUUGAGAAAACAAAAACUCUAUCUAGUUAUUUUCUUAUUAUUAUCUUUAUUUCAAAUGAAAGAGUUUGAAAGCAAAGCAAUUAAAGAGUUUGAAGAAGAAUAGGAUUGAAGAGUUUGAAGAAGAAAAUGAUCUCAAACUUCAAUAAAGAUAAGAUUACAUGGUAACUUAACACGACCAUGUUUAUCUUUGUUGUAAAAUAGUAUAUUGCAAGUGAACUUUAUUAAUUUAUGAAAACUUUUUUCAAAAAUAAUUGAUGAUUGUUCAUGAAGGUUAUGGGUGUAUUUGUUGAAACACAAGAAUGAAGCAUUGGAUAGGUUCAAGACUUGGAAAAAUCUGAUUGAGAAUCCAACCAGAAAAAGAGUUAAACGUCUUAGAACAAAUAAUGGACUUGAAUAUUGCAAUGAAAAGUUUGAUGAUUAUUGCAAAAUUCAUGGCAUAGUUCGACAUAAGAUAGUGAGGAAAACCCCUCGUCAAAAUAACUUAGCUGAAAGAAUAAAUAGAACCCUUUUAGAAAGGAUUAGGUGCAUGUUAUCAAAUGCACAACUUCCUAAAGAGUUUUUAGGUUUAUGUUGUUCAUACAACUGCUUAAUUGGUGAAUAGGUGUCCUUCCUCGGCUAUAGGUUUUAAAACUCCUAUGGAAAUGUGGUUAGGUUGUCUUGUGUUUAUAGUAACUUGAGGACUUUCGUAUGCAUUGCCUAUGCUCACCAAAAUGAGGGAAAACUAGAGCCUCGAGCUAGGAAGUGUAUAUUUGUUGGUUAUUCGGAUGCUUGGUGUCCUACCACUAAGAAGUGUUUUAUAAGCAGGAAUGCGGUCUUCAGAGAGUGAAUUUUUGAAGAAUGACAGAAAAGCUUUCAUUAACAAAGAAAAUGGAGAAAUCAAGGAUAAGAUGGAGUUAAAAGAUAAAAUUGAUAAACCUGAGUUUGAAAUAAAACCACAACAUGACAUUCCAUUGGAAAAUUUUCAAUUGACCAGGGAUAGAGCAAGGUGUAUUCCAUGGUCUGCACAAGACCUGACAUAGCUUAUGGUGUGAGUGUGCUUAGCCAUUAUAUGAUUAAUCCUAGAUAGGAUCAUUGGGAUGCUUUGAAAUGGAUUUUGAGGUAUCUCAAGAGUACUGCAGAUUUUGGGCUCAUAUACCAGAGAAAAUAGAUAACAAUUGGUUUGGUUGAAGGUUAUGUGGAUUCAGAUUAUGCCAAGGACUUGGAUGAGAGAAGAUUAAUAACAGGUUAUUUGUUUAUAGUGUGUGGAUGCAUAGUAAGCUGGAAAUCUAUACUACAAAAUAUUGUGGCUCUCUCUACCACCGAAGUUGAAUAUGUAGCUAUUGUUGAAGCCACUAAAGAAGCUUUGUGAUUAAAAGAUCUAGUAUCUGAAUUAGGAAUGAAUUAGAGAAGUGUAACGGUUUUCUGUGAUAGCCAAAGUGCUAUUUGUUUGACAAAGAACCAAGGUUUCCAUGAGAAGCUGGCUAAAUUCACAGGGGAUAUCAUGGAAUAAGGAUUGGUAAAUGUAACCAAGGAUAAUCCAGUUGAUAUGCUUACAAAACCAAUUCUAAAGGUCAAAUUUAAGUAAUGUUUGUACUUGAUAAAUGUUGGAGUUGUCUGAUGGUAACAACGAACGCACAUGGGAAUCAAUCUAGGCUAAGCUUGGUUUCUUAUUUUGGUGCCAAGGUGGAGAUUGUUGUGAUGUGGCACAAAAAUAAAAUACACAUGCCCAACACAUGAGAUAGCUUUGCUGUGUGUGUGCCUUCUUUGAAUUAUAUUCUUUAUUGUGUUUCCAGCUGGAAGGUUGUUCAAAAGGUUCUUAUUUAGUGUGAUGUAAGUGUAAAAAAAAAAUACGGUUUCAUAGCUAGGUUUUCUAGUGCUCUGUUUUAAUUCAAAAAUUGGGGGAUGCAUGUACUCUCAUUUAUGUGUUGUUGCAUAAUUUUUAAAAUAAAAAAUAAAAAAGAAAGAAAAAAACACUGUCCAGCCCCUUUCUAAAAUCCAAAUAAUAAUAAACUAUUGCUUCGAGUCUUCUAUGGAGCAAACGAAGGGAAUUAAUUCACAAUCCCAUAUAACUGCAACUGCGUUCCACUUCAUUAAAUAACAUAGAAGGAUACAUACGGAUGGGAUCAACAUUCAACAGACAAUGGGCUCGAAUUAAUUUCACUAAGAAAGAGUAAUUAAAGAGAUAAAACAUAAAGGGAAAAGGGAGCAAGCACAACUACACAAAGGAAAAGGCAACACCCGCAAUCAAUUCAAAGUUUUACUAAGUUCGGUAAAAUUUUUGGCAACCUCUAUUUUGGUGUGGAUCACAUUUCGGCGCAGGUGAUGGUGGAGGGAGGUUGUCAGCAUAGGCAGUACCCUUAGGACCAGACACAGAUGGACUAUCAGGAUUUUCAGAGCCCGGAGUUACAAAAGAGAUAGGCGCAAGCAUUCUGCUGAUUUCCGAGCCCAUGAAGAGGUCGAAAUCAAGGUCCAUCGUGAGGCAUUCAUCGACGGAGCCAUUGCACCAGGAGGUGGUGCUGUUGACCUUCAGGGAAGCUGCUCCACAACAAUUUAUGUUGAGGAGUAUCAUAACGAGGAAUGCUACACAAAAACCUCUCUUCCUGUCAACUCCCAUUCUUACUCUCUGCUCUUCUUUCCUCACAACUCAACCCCCCUCAGGAAUUCUUGCAUACAACACUCUCUGCGCCAUCACAUACAGUUAUAUAUAUGCAUAUGGUCCGAGGGGAAAGGCACCAGAGAGAAAGAUAAUGUGAAGGACCUAAAUAUCCUUCACUCCCUCUGUGGGCAAUGUUUGAUUUAUGUUUUUAUUUUAGUCGUGCUAAACUUUACAAGUAAGUCAGACUGCUUUUGCUUUUGCUUUUUCCUA
rnacentral:lncRNA from 1 species